AGGAGGUUGGGGAAACCAUGGGCUGGAGGAGCAAUUUCAAUUUGCACUCCAAGCUUUCUUGGAACCAAUGUAAUCUGUUUGGAAGUACUUGGACCUGGGGAACAGUUUUAGUUUGCGCUCCAUACUUCCUGAUCAAAAGCGACGAAAAUAUUUGUUUGGAAGCCACAGUUGAAAGGAGACUGGGGGAAGCAGUUUUAAUUUGAGAGUUGUAGUUUUACAAGAGCUUGAUGUUUGCAGAAUUGGUUCAGUUUUCCAGCAAGAAGUUGCUCUGGAGACAGUAGGCAGCACUCCUGUGCCAGCCAGGAUCACCUGAAAAAUGGAAUACGACAAACUGGAUUUGCUAAAUAGAACCAGAAUACAUUCUGCUUCCAGGAACUGUUUAACCCCAAUCCCCAGCGGCUUCCAAAAUGAGACAAGUGAGACAUACGAGAUGCAAAUAUCCAUCGGAGAUGGACUCUACGUUUUUGGAUUUAUUGGUAUCCUAAUUUUGUUGAAGUCACUGCUGACCAUGAUCAAUAUGGUAGAAGACAAGCCUAAUGAUGUUUCCUACACCCUUCCAAAGCACAAGACAUUCACGAGCACCACGAUUCAUUAUCAGAACAAGUAUCCAGUGUUAGAUCAGAAGGAGAGUAUUCUGAUGACACCCCCCAACUCACCUCAUUUGUUUCAGGCACGGAACUCAUUUUUACCCUCGCUGACUUUCUUUAGUGGGAAUAGAUGCUUCCCUCCCUCUAAUCUUGCUGUAGGAGAUCAGGAAAAUGAAUUCCGGUGUACAUUCUCUAGCCCCCAGGGCAGCACUAAAUCUCUGGUUUGAUCAUGCCUAGAACGCUCUGAUUUCCACUAAAAAUGUUAUUUUAUUUGUGUUAUUGAGAUGUUGUCACACUUGAGUUGCCGCACUGUAUUCUUUCUAUUGGAACCACUACAUAUUGGUUACUGUUAAGGAAUCACCACUUUUAUGUUCUGUAUGUUCAUCUCACUAAACAGAUUCACACUGUAACAAUAAUUAACAUCAGUUGUUAAAAUAAACAAUGAGAAGAGA